rnacentral:lncRNA from 1 species
CAAGACAAAUAAAGAAGGACAAAGACAGAAUAAAGAAGGUACAUGAAGGGAGAAAAAGAAAACAGGAGCCUGGCAAAUUAAGCCCUCUGUACGCCAAGAAGAAGAAGCCAACAACAUAAGAACCAGCAACAGUUGUUGCUCAGUAGUCGGUGCUGGGGAGCUGCUCGUGGGUGCUGGAGAUGAAGAAGAACUCGUAGACGAGCCCGGCGAGGCCGCCGCCGAUGAGCGGACCGGCCCAGUAUACCCAGUGGUUGUUCCAGGACCAGCUCACCAGCGCCGGACCGAAGGACACCGCCGGGUUCAUCGACGCCCCGUCGAAGGCCCCGCCGGCGAGGAUGUUGGCUCCCACGAUGAAACCGAUCGCGAUCGGUGCAAUCGUCCCGAGGCUGCCCUUCUUGGGGUCCAAGGCGGUGGCGUAGACGGUGUAGACGAGGCCGAAGGUCAUGACGAUCUCGAGGACGAGCGCCUCCCAGACGCUGAUGCCGGUGAGGCCGAAGGUGCCGGUGGAGAGGCCGCCGGUGGAGAAGCGGAGGAGGAAGCAGGCAAUAGUGGAGCCGAGGAGCUGCGCUAUCCAGUAGAGAAUUCCUCUGAGAAGAGUGAUGUUGCCGCCGACGAAGGCGCCGAAGGUCACCGCCGGGUUGACGUGCCCGCCGGAGAUGUUGGCACCCACGGACACCGCCACGAACAGACCGAAGGCGUGCGCCAGCGACGCUGCCACCAGGCCUGCCGGCGUGGUCGCACUGCCGCCAGUUAGCUUGCCUGUCGACCCCACAACAACAAUAAUAAAAAAAAAAGAAAUGAAACGAUCAAUUCAUUUAUAAUGAUGAUUCUACAAAAAAGUGAAAGAAGACUGAACGAAAAAAAAAUAAAAGAAGGAUGAGGAUAAAUAUCGCACUGAAAGCCAUGCCGGAGCCCUGGCCGGCGAAGACGAAGAUGAGAGUGCAGAUGAACUCAGCGAGGGCGGCUUUGAGGGCGUUCGGAUGAGUCGCCUCCUCCCGAGUCCCGAUCGCUAUCCUGAGAAAUCGGCAUUUUUUUCUUUUUUCUUUUGUUUUUCUGCACCCCUGCUCUCCCUCUCCGGUGUCUCUCU